CUGCUGCGGUUAAAAAGCUCGUAGUUGGAUCUCAGUUGCGGGCGGGUGGUGCAUCUACCCGAUGUGACAGCCCGAUCUGAACAUCUUGCCUUCUAUCCUCUGGUGUCCUUCACUGGAUGCCUUUGGGUGGUCGGUGCAUUUACUUUGAAAAAAUUGGAGUGCUCAACGCAGGCGAAGUGCCUGAACACUUAUGCAUGGAAUAAUAGAACAAGACCCCGUUUCUGUUCUGUUGGUUUUUGGAAAACGAGGUAAUGAUCAAGAGGGACUGACGGGGGCAUUCGUAUUGCGGCGCUAGAGGUGAAAUUCUUGGACCGUCGCAAGACGAACUACAGCGAAAGCAUUUGCCAAGAAUGUUUUCAUUGAUCAAGAACGAAAGUUAGAGGUUCGAAGGCGAUCAGAUACCGCCCUAGUUCUAACCAUAAACGAUGCCAACCAGCAAUCCGCCUGAGUUACUCCAAUGACUCUGCGGGCAGCUUCCGGGAAACCAAAGUAUUUGGGUUCCGGGGGAAGUAUGGUUGCAAAGCUGAAA
rnacentral:rRNA from 2 species